GACGGAGGGGGCAAGCGUUGUCCGGAAUCACUGGGCGUAAAGGGCGCGUAGGUGGCUUCGUGCGUCGGUGCUGAAAGCGCCGGGCUUAACCCGGCGAGGCGUGCCGAUACAACGAGGCUUGAGGCAGGGAGAGGGUAGCGGAAUUCCGGGUGUAGUGGUGAAAUGCGCAGAUAUCAGGAGGAACACCAAUGGCGAAGGCAGCACUCUGGGACGGUACUGACGCUGAGACGCGAAAGCGUGGGGAGCAAACAGG
rnacentral:rRNA from 1 species